UACAGAGGGGGCAAGCGUUGUUCGGAAUUACUGGGCGUAAAGGGCGCGUAGGCGGCCCGCUAAGUCGAACGUGAAAUCCCCGAGCUCAACCCGGGAACUGCGUCCGAUACUGGAAGGCUUGAAUCCGGGAGAGGGAUGCGGAAUUCCAGGUGUAGCGGUGAAAUGCGUAGAUAUCUGGAGGAACACCGGUGGCGAAGGCGGCAUCCUGGACCGGUAUUGACGCUGAGGCGCGAAAGCCAGGGGAGCAAACGGG
rnacentral:rRNA from 1 species